GUGCUGACUUCGGCAGCACUUAUACUAAAAUUGGAACGAUACAGAGAUUAGCAUGGCCCCUGCACAAGGAUGAUAUGCAAAUUCGUGAAGCGUUUCAUAUAUUU